UAAUACGGAGGUGGCAAGCGUAGUUCGGAAUUAUUGGGCGUAAAGGGCGCGUAGGCGGCUUAGCAAGUCGGAUGUGAAAGCCCCGGGCUUAACUCGGGAAUUGCAUCCGAAACUGCUUUGCUUGAGUCCUGGAGGGGGUAGUGGAAUUCCCAGUGUAGCGGUGAAAUGCGUAGAUAUUGGGAGGAACACCUGCGGCGAAGGCGGCUACCUGGACAGUGACUGACGCUGAGGCGCGAAAGCUAGGGGAGCGAACG
rnacentral:rRNA from 1 species